rnacentral:rRNA from 1 species
UACAGAGGUCUCAAGCGUUGUUCGGAUUCAUUGGGCGUAAAGGGUGCGUAGGUGGCGCCGUAAGUCAGGUGUGAAAUUUCGGAGCUUAACUCCGAAACUGCAUUUGAUACUGCGGUGCUUGAGGACUGGAGAGGAGACUGGAAUUUACGGUGUAGCAGUGAAAUGCGUAGAUAUCGUAAGGAAGACCAGUGGCGAAGGCGGGUCUCCGGACAGUUCCUGACACUGAGGCACGAAGGCCAGGGGAGCAAACGGG